CAAGAAAUACUCUUACCAGUUUACUUCCUCCAAAUGAGAUAAGCUUUGUGGAGUUAGACUGCAAACAGAUAUUAUGCUCCCCAGGAUAUUUGAGAGCUAAUGAACCUGUAAGAAUGUGGACACAGGAGGAACAUGGAGAAAAAGAAGAUGUUAUAAACAAGAAUAAGUGAAACAAGGGGGAUGGAGGACAGGAGAGUGAUAAUCAGAAGAAUGCAAGGCAUCCAGAAAUGACAAAAGUUUGGACAAGGAGUUCCAUUAUUGGCAGGUUGAAGGCGUACAUAACGAGUUCUGGUUUUGGUCCCUAUCUUUCCACAAGUACCU